rnacentral:rRNA from 1 species
CAGCCGCGGUAAUACGUAGGUGGCAAGCGUUGUCCGGAAUUAUUGGGCGUAAAGGGCUCGCAGGCGGUUUCUUAAGUCUGAUGUGAAAGCCCCCGGCUCAACCGGGGAGGGUCAUUGGAAACUGGGAAACUCGAGUGCAGAAGAGGAGAGUGGAAUUCCACGUGUAGCGGUGAAAUGCGUAGAGAUGUGGAGGAACACCAGUGGCGAAGGCGACUCUCUGGUCUGUAACUGACGCUGAGGAGCGAAAGCGUGGGGAGCGAACAGGAUUAGAUACCCGCGUAGUCCCUGUCUCUUAUACACA